rnacentral:sRNA from 1 species
UACAUGAAGUUCUCACAAGCUGUGACAUUCAGACACAGAAUAACAUAAACGCGAGUUCAUGUUUUAAAAUUCUUUUAACAACUCACAAAUAAAAGAAUUGUGUAUUCUUUUAUUUAUCGACAGGAUGACACUUCAGAAUAUGGUUCAGAUAGUGUACGGAGCGUUGUGUCACGUGAUAGGGACUCCAGAACAGGUGGCUUCUAGGAGAGAAAUAGUGGACAUGAUGGAGCUAUUUGUAGACCUUAGAAAAUAUUGUAAGCACAAAACGAUGGUUAGUGGAAGCAUGAGAGAAGGAUUUAGAUUUAGCGACUCUGAUGCAGAUUCUAUGUUCUGGCUAGAUAACCACCGAGUAAUCUGGGACUUUUCUCAAUCUGAGUAUUACAACCUACACAGACAGGCACUGAUUCUCUGUGACAGUUCUGAGAGUCCACCAGGAUUUACUUUACUCUGGUUACCAUUGGAUAGAGCCGCCAGUAAUGUGAUGUAUGCUUGUGUAUGUAUAAAUGAAAAACUUGUUUUAUCGAGUUCUAAAUACAGAGAGAUCACACUUUCUGAUCUAAGACCAAGUUCUAGAAUACACGGACCAUGUAGCAGUGGAAUACGCGGUACAACUGAAUACGAUGACGCUCAUUGUUUUGUCAGUGAUUUUUGGCCCCCCUCUGCCUACUCAUGGAUAGACAGAUGUCAUUCAUGGCCCCCACCCCAUGUUGUACACGACGUCGUCGGAAAUGGAUGUCACUUUGUAGCAAUAGGACACAAACUAGGAAAUCAUGAAGACAACGAAUGGCGAAUUUCUUUCUCAAAAGCAGAAUAUAAACUUGUGUAUUCAAUGAAUCACACGCAAUUCUUAACUUACGGUUUGUUGAAAAUAUUCAUAAAGGAAAUAUUCAACAAAGGAUUAAGAGAUGAAGAUAAACUACUAUGUUCCUACCACUUGAAAACAGCUGUUUUCUGGACCAUUCAACAAAACAUGCUUCUUCACUGGUGUCCCCAAAAUCUUCUGGUAGGUUUCUGGGCCUGUUUUAAACUUCUCCUGAAAUGGGUGUAUGAAGGGGUGUGUCCAAAUUUUUUCAUUCCACAAAACAACAUGUUCCUGAGCAGUAUACAUGGCAAAGCACAAAGAAGCUUGUUCAUGCGAUUUUAUAGAUUUUAUGAGAAGGGAAUAGCUUCCCUGUAUCACAGUUCUUCUAUCGGAUCCUACCUCUUAUUUGAUCUCUGUGUACCCAGACCCUCGGUUAAUACGGACGUGCGAUUCCUACUACUCGAGGCAGUGUAUGAUGGGGAAUUAUUUAGAGAGAUAAGUAUUUAUGAUUCAAUACACACUUCAGACUUACAGGACUGUAUGAGAUACCUUCAAAAAGUGGAACAGUUAGUUGGAUCAAACCUGACAGUACCAAACACUAAGUUUACAGAGACACACGGCUACUACCUUUCAGUGUAUUGCCUUUAUAUUACAUAACAAGUACGCUAAUAGAUGCGUCAACAAGCUGGUGUACUCUGUUUUAAAAAUGUGCGUUUACAUGCUGAAAUUCGCUGCUAGUGUUGGUUGUAUUUCUGACAUGUUGUACAUUGCCAUGUAUCAUUACAAGACAUUAAGAUACAGGGAAGCUUUAUCUGUUAUAGAGAAGACAAAGGUCAAAUUAGCACAGCCAUUUCUGAUAGUUAGAGAGAACGUUGAUUCGGAGAGGUAUACUGAGGCUGUAGGUGGGCAGUCGUUGUCUACAAAGAUGAAACAUGCUGUAGCGAUGGAUAUUAGACUAAACACUGAAAUCUGCUAUAUCAACGAAUUGAUGCUAGAACAACAGUCCAGCAGACAUAGCAGAAUAUAUAUCCCACCCUUGAUGAUGUUGCAAAUGUUGGAGAUUAUGUGCUGUAAAUAUAUUGACCCCAUGAGAACAAAGAGGGCUUUGGACGAACUGCAGUUCUUAGUUCUCAAUGAUCCUGGAAAGUUUAUAGGUGUAUCAUAUGGAGACAUCUCCUGGGAAAUCCUGGGGAUCUGUCAACAGAUAUUACUGAAACCUCGGGCUGCCUUAUAUUCAUACCAACAGUCACUCAGACAAAGACUACAGAAUAACAUACAAAGUGCUACUAGACAGAGAAUUAAUAACUUAGCGAAUAUAACGUAUGCAUUUCAAAACCUAGCUGCCGGUCUGUAGCUCCCGGUCUGAACUAAUGGUACAUCCAUGCAUUAGUUGCUUGCUUCAUUUAAUAAAUCACUUGAUAGUGUAUUGUCAAUGGAAUGGAUGGAAUAAUGAAGCUUAUACACGCGAUUAAAUAAAUGUCUUUAUAUUCUGACUUU